UACGAAGGGGGCUAGCGUUGCUCGGAAUCACUGGGCGUAAAGGGUGCGUAGGCGGGUCUUUAAGUCAGGGGUGAAAUCCUGGAGCUCAACUCCAGAACUGCCUUUGAUACUGAAGAUCUUGAGUCCGGGAGAGGUGAGUGGAACUGCGAGUGUAGAGGUGAAAUUCGUAGAUAUUCGCAAGAACACCAGUGGCGAAGGCGGCUCACUGGCCCGGUACUGACGCUGAGGUGCGAAAGCGUGGGGAGCAAGCAGG
rnacentral:rRNA from 1 species